AAGCAAUACUAAUUGGACUCAGAGGGUUAUUAAAAUAAUUUUAAAAGGGUCAGACAUGAUAGUGCAGGACUUUAAUCCCAGCACUCAACAGGCAGAAGCAAGACGAUCUCUAUGAGUUGGAAGUCAACCUGUCCUAACUUGAAAAUCCCAGGCCAACCAGGACUAUACUUUGAGACCCUGUGUCAAAAUGAAUGAAUGAAAAUAAAAAGACCUGAACUGAAGAGUGUUCAAGGUUGGCAAGCAGAAUGACCUGCCUAAUGACAAAGGGCACAACACCGUACCAUACAUCAGCCACACGGUGACAAGCUGGAGACUGUACCACACAUUGGCCACAAGGCUGUACAACCUGGAGACUUGAGUUCAAUACCUGGAACCCCCACAUCAAGGGGAAGGAGAAGACUGACGUCACAGUUCAAUACCUGGAACC